rnacentral:rRNA from 1 species
UGGCGGACGGGUGAGUAACGCGUGGGUAACCUGCCGUAUACAGGGGGAUAACAGUUGGAAACAACUGCUAAUACCGCAUAAGCGCACACUGUCGCAUGACAGAGUGUGAAAAUUUCCGGAGGUAUACGAUGGACCCGCGUCUGAUUAGCCAGUUGGCAGGGUAACGGCCUACCAAAGCAACGAUCAGUAGCCGGCCUGAGAGGGUGGACGGCCACAUUGGGACUGAGACACGGCCCAAACUCCUACGGGAGGCAGCAG